CAUAACAAUUUAUAAUAGAAUUUUAUUUUUUAGUCAAAAAGCUAAAAUAUAUUUAAAAGACGAGAAGACCCUAUAAAUCUUUAUAUUUAGGUUAUUAUAAUUUUAUAGAUUUUUUUUGUUAUAAUAAUUGAUAAUAUUUUAUUGGGGUGAUAUUAAAAUUUGAUAAACUUUUAAUUGUUUAAAUCAUUAAUUUAUGAAUAAUUGAUCCGUUAUUAGUGAUUAAAAAAAUAAGUUACCUUAGGGAUAACAG
rnacentral:rRNA from 1 species